rnacentral:tRNA from 1 species
GCUCAGAUAACUCAAUUGGUAGAGUGAACCAUUGAAGCUGGUUAUGUUGUAGGUUCAAGUCCUGCUCUGAGCA